rnacentral:lncRNA from 1 species
UUAACAUUGUCCCAAAAAAGAAAACAAAAACAAAGAAAACCAAAAAACAAAAAAAACUAUUUCUGAAUUUGGGGGAUAACAUUGUUGGCUAUUUAUUAUCGGGCUAAAAUAAGUCCAACUUUCUGCUCAGUAACAACAGGACCAGGAGAAUAUAUAAGAAGUUGAGUUAGGUGAGCUUAAUAAGUUGAGUGGGAGUGUGAUUUAUAAAAAACCUAACAGCAAGUGGCCCAACGACUGACCCAACGUUCAGGUGGGUUAAAUCAGGUUGAAGCCCGCGAGCAUUAUAGUUGGGCCCUUAAGUGUGAUGGGUGUGCUCUUCCUAUCAACACGUGCUUUUGGAAUAGUUUGUUAGCGCUUAUGAUCCACAAACAUAGUAUCAAAUUGGGGAGCUUUAAAUCUCUAGGAAUAAAAUAUAAUAAAAAACAUCCGAUCAUAUCUGUGCUCAUACUCGAUCUCAUCCGUUUUUUAAUAGAAAAUAUUGGAAUUUAAUCGGAUCUGUGUGCGAAUUGUCCGAAUGUCCGAAAAAAAUCGGAAACAGAUCUAGAUACCAGAAAAUUAAUACAUGUUAUUAAUUUAUACAUUAUGCAAUAAAUAAGGUAACGGUGUAGCUAAUACGGUAGUGGUCUUUUUUGCAUGUGAGAGGUUACAAGCUAGGUUCGAUUUUGUGCACCGCCAAAUUCAACUACUCCUAAAAUAGAUUACAUCUACUCCUAAUGCAAAAGUCAUAAAUAUGACGUUUCCUAAUGCAAAAGUUUGAAAUGUGAUGUUUCAAUCCUCUUUUCUUAGCUCCAUUUUCUUUUGUACCGCCGUUAUCAUAGAUCUGCUAGUAAUAAUAACUUGUUGAUACGCUAGCUUGUUGAUACGCUAGUGUUAGAUGUGACGCGAAAUUGAUAAUCGACUCAAGUUCGGAUUUUUGACUCGUCGACAGUUUCGCAGUGCGACCAAAUUGGAAAAUAAAAUUGUGAAGAAAAAAUGAAUAUCUGUGGUUGGUAACGGAGGGCUCGAGCCUGUAGAGGCGUGAGAUCGUGGUUAGUUGUACCAUCUAAACAUUGUUUUCCCUUUUUCAAUUUGAUAGUGAAGUUCUCUUCCCCAUCGCCCGUGGUUUUUCCUUGCAAAGGAUUUUUCACGUAAAUAUGUGUGUUUUUCUUUUGUUUCUGCUUGUGGUUUGUUUAUUUUGUGUUCACCAUUUCGUUUUCCGUUUGUGCGUUUGUCGUAACAGCUAGCUUGUUUGUCAAAACUGUAACGAUCCGAUUCACUAGCAAUAAUAACUCGUUUGGUUCAAACCAAAAGCCCAAAAUGUUUAAACUCCGUUAUUAUUAUUAGAAUGCGAAACCUCAUAUAUAUAUAUAUAUAUAUAUAUAUAUAUAU